CAAGCUCAGUGAUGAUCCCCGUCAAGGUC
rnacentral:piRNA from 1 species